CAAUAGCGUAUAUUAAAGUUGUUGCAGUUAAAAAGCUCGUAGUUGGAUUUCUGGUGGGAGCGAUCGGUCUGGCGCUUAGCGCGAGUACUUGCAUCGUCUCCGGCCAUCCUUGGGGAAAGUCUGUCUGGCAUUAAGUCGUCGGGCAGAGGAUCCUCAUCGUUUACUGUGAAAAAAUUAGAGUGUUCAAAGCAGGCUUAUGCCGUUGAAUAUAUUAGCAUGGAAUAAUAAGAUAGGACUUUGGUACUAUUUUGUUGGUUUGCGCACCAAAGUAAUGAUUAAUAGGGACAGUUGGGGGUAUUCGUAUUCCGUUGUCAGAGGUGAAAUUCUUGGAUUUACGGAAGACGAACUACUGCGAAAGCAUUUACCAAGGAUGUUUUCAUUAA
rnacentral:rRNA from 1 species